CCUACGGGCGGCAGCAGUGGGGAAUAUUGCACAAUGGGGGAAACCCUGAUGCAGCGAAGCCGCGUGGAGGAAGAAGGUUUUAGGAGUGUAAACUCCUUUUAUCAGGGACGAUAAGGACGGUACCUGAAGAAAAAGCUCUGGCUAACGAGGUGCCAGCAGCCGCGGUAAUACGUAGGGAGCGAGCGUUGUCCGGAAUUACUGGGUGUAAAGGGAGCGUAGGUGGGACGUCAAGUCAGAUGUGAAAACUUAGGGCUCAACUUUCAGACUGCAUUUGAAACUGGUGUUCUUGAGUGAAGUAGAGGUAAGCGGAAUUCCUAGUGUAGCGGUGAAAUGCUUAGAUAUUAGGAGGAACUUCGAUGGCGAAGGCAGCUUACUGAGCUUUUACUGACGCUGAGGCUCGAAAGCGUGGGGAGCAAACAGGAUUAGAUACCCCAGUAGUC
rnacentral:rRNA from 1 species